CCUCUUAUUUCAAGAAAUAUAAGAAUUCCAAAAAGUUUCCCUGCACACACACAAAAAAAAAAAAAAAAUGGAAAAUUCAAUCUGGGCUUCCAUCUUUUUAGGCGGGGAAAAAUGAACUCUUCAUUGACCGCCAAAAUGCCGCUGUGGUAGCAUAAAGAAAUUUGAAACUCCCACAUCAGGUGCUCUCUUCGACGUCGUGAUCUAUACACAACAACGUAAUGACCACAAAAAAAAAAAAAAGUUUGUGUUUCCUAGCAGACGAGUCAAUCACACAGCGUUAACUUUCUCUACAGCGUCCCGACGCCCUUUUUUCUUUGAAAAAACAAAAAAGAAAAAAAAACGGGAAGAGGGAAUAACACACCCUACAGUUGGAAGAUCCUGUUACACACCUUACGAGCAACACAGUGGAAAGAAGUUCUUUUUUCGUUGUCAACGUUAGGGAGAUAGCAAUCGGCACCCCCUCCUUUAACGUACCACACAGAUUUUUUCGUCUGUUAAAAAGAUGGUGGUAGGGGGGUUCUUUUCCCCUCCACCUUGUGUGUGUGUUAAAAAUGUGAACAAGUGGCUCUGCCCCUGCUUUGUGUGUGUGUGUGUGUGUGCAAUGAAAGACGAUACCGACGAUGGUUGACAUUCAAGAUGCUGCCGGUUUCUUUUUUCGGGGGUUCUCAAACCGUUGGCAGGGCGCCAUUUUCCUUUUUUUUUUGGUGUUCAGAUAUAAAUCUGUCAAACGUGAAAAACGUAUUCAAACUGUACAUUUUUUUUUUUAAAGAACGAGGGUACGUAUUAUUAUUAUAUAUUUUUGUUUUACUUGUUGCGUGUAUUUAAAUGUUUGGUAAGUCCAGAACAAAAAAAAAAGGGAAGAAAAUUAACAAGUUUUGUGUGUCGUUAGUCCAGGCGUGAUUUCCUUCGUGAUGAAAAAAAAAGGCAACACGUAAGGGCGGCCAUCUUGUUUUCAUAGCCAACGGCACUAAUUAAAAGCCCUGGAGACAUAGAACGGCCGCAAGCUUCUUCCUCUAGUCAUCAUCAUCAUCUUCUUCAUAUACUGCUGGACAAUGACUGCCAAAUGAUGGUGUUCCAUGGCUAUAUAACAUCCGCGACCUCUGGGCUUGACCCCCUCCCAUUUUCCGGCCUUAGGGCAACGCAUCUUCUGUGAGUAAAAGUCAACUUAUUUUUUUUUUUUCUUUUUUGUGGACUCGAUGCUACAUACCCCCAAAAACUACUGUAUGCCUCUUUUUAUGUAAAUGACCCCCUUCGUGAAUUACCUCCACUCUGCGGCUUUACCGGAGCUUCUUCCCAGUGGGUUUCUUUUACUGCCCGGCAGCACCUGCAGGCCAUGAUGGCACCAACAACGGACAUGACGAAGUUCUUUUUUAUUUAUUUUUUUUUCUCUCUUUCUUAAAUAAGGGGAUAACCGAUUCACCUUAUUCCGGAGCAAUCAUCUUUUUUUUUUUUUUUUUUGCUUCUAACUCCGCCCAGUUAAUUACACACGUUCAGACUAUCCAGAAGAUUUUUGUCUUCCUCUUCUUUUCUUUUUUACAACCUGAAGCAGAUCAUUUUCAAGAGUAACAAAUAAAAUGCGAGAAAAAAGGACGUUUUGAGUAAAAAAAAACACGAAGACGGAUAAUUUUAAACACUUAAACAAAUACAAAUUAAGGGUGAAAUAACACAACAAGAGUUUCGAUCGUUGUCGCGUUCACAUUUCGAGUUGUAUGUCAAGUUUACCCAAUUUCACGCCAGGAAUAAAUUAAAGAAAAUCAUUGUUGAUACAAGCAUUUCUGUGAUUGGUCAACCAAAGUCAACAGGUCCCCCUUUCUUAAACAAGUGUCACACACACACACACACACACACACCUAAAGAAUUGGAAGAAAGAAAACAGAUAACUCUUUAACCUGUAUAUGUGCGUGUGUGCAAAAAUCGUAUCUUAAUAAAUCCUGUUUUUCUUUUGCCAAAAGAGUUAGCCAAGCAGAAGAACAUGGGGGGAACAACACACACAAAGGGAAAUAGAAACCCCCACCCUAAAAAAAGGUUCCUCUUCGGACGCCAGUUGGAAAAAAAGAAGAAAAAUUAGAGAAUGAAAGGAAGAAGAAGAAGUGGUUGGUUUGUAGAGAGAACUCGAUGAGUUAGACGAGAUGGUAUUUCCGGCCUGGGGACCCCGACUAUAUGGCCAUGGUACAAAAGAGGGGAUUUUUGUUUGUCUGUAAUAAGACAAGAAGAGAGGGGGGAGAGAGAGAGAAAACCCAAGUUGCUGGCCUCGACUCGCCCUUUUUCCUCUUUUGCGUGUGUGUAAAGGAAGAAGAAGAAGAAGAAAAAAAAGAGCCCCUUCAACCCCAACAGGUCGUUUCGCCUUUAAAGUGGGGGGGAGAACGAAACAAAGAGGAAGUUGGCAACCACUGCCAUCCUCUUUUGCCCCGACGGGCGACCAAAAACACCCCCAGAAAUCUUCGCUUUCAAGAAAAACCUGAACGUAAAAUGCAUUUUCGAUUUUCCAUUUUUAAAGAUUUAAAUUAAGGACAUAAGAAAUGGGGAUGGUGUAAAAUUAUAUAAUUGAAUUAUAGAGUGUGUGUGUGUGUGUGUGUGUGCAGUAAAUAUAUAGCUGAGAGGAUGCAUGAUAACCCCAUGAACGUUAAGCAAAAGAGGCCGGAAGGGAAUGAUUACACUUUUCCGUCCUGUUUCUCUCUCUCUCUUGACUCUUCAAGAGCUUUAUUUUUUAUUAUUAUUUUCUCUUUGUGUUGUUGUUCUGGAGGGACAAUUUAAGAGAUAAAAGAUGACUAUACAUAAAAACAAUGUUUUGUGUUUUUAAAAUCUUCUUCUUAAUAAACAAAAUAUAUAAAAUUAUGACUUGAAAUGAUCAAUUCAAAUCAGAAAAAAAUUACGUUUGCAACCGAC